AUACGGAGGGUGCAAGCGUUACUCGGAAUCACUGGGCGUAAAGCGCGCGCAGGCGGGCUGAUAAGUUGGAUGUGAAAGCCUACGGCUCAACCGUAGAACUGCAUCCAAAACUGUCAGUCUAGAGUGUGGGAGAGGAAGAUGGAAUUAGUUGUGUAGGGGUAAAAUCCGUAGAGAUAACUAGGAAUACCAAAAGCGAAGGCAAUCUUCUGGAACACUACUGACGCUGAGGCGCGAAGGCGUGGGGAGCAAACAGGAUUAGAAACCCUUGUAGUCC
rnacentral:rRNA from 1 species